ACGCUAAACAUUUUUUGGCUGCUGCAGUAGCUCAGCUCAGCUCAGCUCAUUCAGUUCAGCUCGCUCAGCUCAGCUCCGCUCCGGACCGGACUCAGCUGCCAAGCUAUAAGAUGGAGUCAUGAAAUGUGACGGGACAGCCACCGAGGACUUCAUACUUCGGAGCAUCUCAAACAUGCACCACAAAGACGUGGAGGACACACCGCUGUCUCUCAGGACCUAGAAUCUUAAUGAAAGUAUAAUGAUGUUAAGGGAAGGUGUAAUGGAAAGGUGUAAUGGAAAGUUGUAAUGGUGUUAAGGGAAGGUGUAGUGGAAAGGUGUGAUAGUGUUGAGGGAAGGUGUAAUGUUAAAGGUGUGAUAGUGUUGAGGGAAGGUGUAAUAGUGUUGAGGGAAGGUGUAAUGUUAAAGGUGUGAUAGUGUUGAGGGAAGGUGUAAUAGUGUUGAGGGAAGGGGUAAUGUUAAAGGUGUAAUAGUGUUGAGGGAAGGUGUAAUGUUAAAGGUGUAAUAGUGUUAAGGGAAGGUAUAAUAUUGUUAAGGGAAGGUGUAAUGUAAAGCUGUAAUAGUUUUAAGGGAAGGUAAAUGUUUAGUGAAAUUGUUAUGGUGUGAAUCUAAGGUGUAUGUUAUGUUGAUGUAAAAUAAAGGCAUUAACCCCAAAUGAGAUUUACUCAUUAUUUUUAUUAUUAUAUUAAUGUUUCCCCAAACAGAAAGGGUCAAUUUAAAAUCAACAGUGGUAAGAUGGGGGUAAUUAAUUUAUCCCUUGCUUUUACUGGUUCUUUGCAGGUUGACAUGUUUUGAAAAAAGUGAGAGGGUUGAAAUGCAAUUUAUUUGUAAAGCAUAUUGUGUAUAACUAACGUGCAUAACUAGUUCCAGAAGGUUGUGAACCUGUUCCAGUAAUUGUUUGGCUUAGCUUUGUAUGCGUUUCCAGUUAACUGCUGAAGCUGGAACAAUGGAACAGUUGCUACCGUCUGAAA